ACAAAAUACAACCCCCCGAAAAGCUUCACAGACCCCUUCACAGACCAACUGCCAUUCACCUUCUUCCUCUUUCCCCCCAUUUCCUCCCAUUUGGAAGCACCAAAUAGAAAAGUUGAGGGGAGUGAAUGAAGAAUGAGAAUCCAUGGGGAGGAGGACAUCCACAGGGCAAUAGGGAGCUGUGACAGAGCAAGAAAGGUCAAGGGGCACUGGAUGUUUCUCUGCUGAGGGGGGACACGAGGAGCAGGCACCUCACCCUGACUGACACCUCCUGCCUAUUAUUUCCCUGUUAUGUUCUUGCCAUACACAGAUAAACUAGAUAAAAACAGAGAUGUUUCAAAUCCUUGAAAAAUGACCCAAUAACCUUCAUAAUAUUGAAGAUACCACGAGUCAUGAAUCUUUAGCGAGACCAGAUCUGGAGUGCUGUGUCCAACUCUGGGUGCCACAGUUAAAGAAGGAUGUGGCCAAAUUGGAUAGAAUCCACAGGAGAGCAUCAAAAAUGGAUCAAAGGUUUAGAAAACCUGACCUGGGAAGAGAG